ensembl:ncRNA F44E5.7 ncRNA
GAGUAAAAGUGGCAGCCGACAUCUCACGGGUAGGCAGUCCAAAGGGAGCAGCUCAUCCCAAGUGGCAGCCGACACUUCACGGGUAUGUAUCAAGUUGGUUGUUGGCUCUUGGUGCUAGACAACAAACAACUCCCACAAACUUC